CCUACGGGUGACAGCAGUGAGGAAUAUUGGUCAAUGGCCGGAAGGCUGAACCAGCCAUGCCGCGUGAAGGUCAGUGCCCUAUGGGCGUUAAACUUCUUUUGUGCGGGAGCAAUAAUGGUCACGUGUGGCCAGACGAGAGUACCGUACGAAUAAGCAUCGGCUAACUCCGUGCCAGCAGCCGCGGUAAUACGGGGGAUGCAAGCGUUUUCCGGAUUUAUUGGGUUUAAAGGGUGCGUAGGCGGUGAGGUAAGUCAGCGGUGAAAUGCCCCCGCUCAACGGGGUGAAGUGCCAUUGAUACUGCCUUGCUGGAGUGCGGAUGCGGUGGGAGGAAUGUGUGGUGUAGCGGUGAAAUGCAUAGAUAUCACACAGAACACCGAUUGCGAAGGCAGCUCACGGGUCCGCGAUUGACGCUGAUGCACGAAAGCGUGGGUAUCAAACAGGAUUAGAUACCCCAGUAGUC
rnacentral:rRNA from 1 species